UACGAAGGGGGCUAGCGUUGCUCGGAAUCACUGGGCGUAAAGCGCACGUAGGCGGCUUUCUAAGUCAGGGGUGAAAUCCUGGAGCUCAACUCCAGAACUGCCUUUGAUACUGGAGAGCUUGAGUCCGGAAGAGGUGAGUGGAACUCCGAGUGUAGAGGUGAAAUUCGUAGAUAUUCGGAAGAACACCAGUGGCGAAGGCGGCUCACUGGUCCGGUACUGACGCUGAGGUGCGAAAGCGUGGGGAGCAAACGGG
rnacentral:rRNA from 1 species